GACGAACCGUCCUAACGUUGUUCGGAAUCACUGGGCUUAAAGGGCGCGUAGGCGGGCAUGCAAGUCCGGGGUGAAAGCUUUCGGCUUAACCGGAAAAGGGCCUUGGAUACUGCCAUGACUAGAGGUCGGUAGGGGAGUGUGGAAUUCCUGGUGGAGCGGUGAAAUGCGCAGAUAUCAGGAAGAACACCCGUGGCGAAGGCGGCUCUCUGGAACGCAACUGACGCUGAGACGCGAAAGCGUGGGGAGCAAACAGG
rnacentral:rRNA from 1 species